rnacentral:rRNA from 1 species
AAACUUUAAAUGGGUGAGAAGUCCGGCUUGCAUGACUGAAGCCCGGACGCCCGAAUGUGAGCGCCCAGUGGGCCACUUUUGGUAAGCAGAACUGGCGCUGUGGGGUUAACCAAACACCGGGUUACGGCGCUCGAUGCGAGACGCUCAUGAGACCCCAUGAAAGGUGUUGGUUGCUAUAGACAGCAGGACGGUGGUCAUAGAAGUCGAAACCCGCUAAGGCGUGUGUAAAAACUCACUUGCCGAAGCAACUAGCCCUGAAAAUGGAUGGCGCUCCAGCGUUGAGCCCAUACACGGCCGCCGUGGCAGAGCUUUCCCCUAGGAGGCUUACGCCACGGCGAGUAGGAGAGUCAAGGCGGCGACCGUCGAAGGUGCCGGGCGCGAGUCCGCCUGGAGCCGCCGCCGGUGCAGAUCUUGGUGGUAGUAGCAAAUACUCAAGUGAGAACAUUGAGAACUGAGGUGGAGAAGGGUUCCAUGUGAACAGCAGUUGAACAUGGGUCAGUCGGUCCUAAGGGAUAUGAGAAGUCCGUUCCGAGGCGAUACGUUGCGUGCGAAGCGUUCUUGUCCCGGCGACGACCGAAAGGGAAUCGGGUCAAUAUUCCCGAACCCGGACGCGGAGAUCGGCCCCUCGGGCCGAAGUGCGGCGACGCAACCGAACUCGGAGAAGUCGACGGGAGUCCCGGGAAGAGUUGUCUUUUCUUUGUAAUGGUCCGGGUUCCUGGAAUCGGCUCGUCCGGAGAUAGGGAUGCUGCUCCCGUAAAGCACCGCGGCUCUUGCGGUGUCCGGAGCGCUCCCGUCAGCCUUUGAAAAUCCGAGGGAGGAGGUGUGAUUUUCGCGCCGGUCCGUACUCAUAUCCGCAGCAGGUCUCCAAGGU